rnacentral:misc_RNA from 1 species
UGGUAACCUUUGUGGCAUUGAGGUUUGUAAUCCUAAUUCCAAACUAUAAGUAUCUUGUCUUAUUGGGCAUAGUUAUAUGGUUUUAUGAUGGACCCUUCUCAAAGCCUACAGCACUGGAACACCUUUUCCCCUUGACAUGUUUAUGCUUCUCUUCUGUCAAUCUGUAUGAUAUGGCACCACACUGUUGGGGUCUAAAACUAUGUUUUUGUCAAUAUCAUUUGCUGUAUGGGAAAUACGCCUCUUAGAAAGUAUAGAGCUUGCUCUUGUUUAAUUAAUUGUAGGAUAACUUCUCGUGGAUGUAAUAACAUUUCAUGUCAAAGUAGCGGAUGCAUGGCAAUUGGAAAGUAAAUUUCUAGAUCUAUGAAUGCUGUCAAUAGGUUAGCACAUUAGUUUAAGGAUAGGGGAGAAUAGAAGUUAAUAUCAGAAUCAGAUAAUUUUGUUUUUGGCUAUGACUGUAGGUGUUUUAUAGCCUGAUUCAUAUUGUAGGGAUGUUGCUUGUGGUUGAUAUGGUAAGGCUCAAAGGUCCAGUUAGGUCUUGAAGACUGGUACUUAGUGGUGCUAAUUAUUGUGGCAGUGCAAGGAUCCCAUUUAGAUGAUGGGCCUCCUUGGAGUUGCACCACUAAGAGAGUAUGCUAAGAGCUUGGCUUUGCAUACAUUUGUUAGUUAUGGUGUUCUCUCCUUUUUUUUUCCCUUUUUGUUGUUCUGUUAUGUAUUUGGCAUGGAACUAGUGUAUGGAGAAAAGUGAAUAGAUUGGAGAUUAGCUCUUAAUUGUUUAAUGUGGUAUGCAUGGAUGAAGUCAACAAUCAUGUUCUUGUGAUCUCUGUAUGAACUAGGAUGGCUCUCUUCCACUCUAUAUUGAAUUUUGCUUAUUUCCUUCUGUUUUGUAAUAAGGUCUGAAGUAGAGGGAAGCAUUUAAGUGCCGGAGAAUCAAUGAUGUGAGACAAUAAUUAGAUAGGAAAUGAAAAAUAAUGGGGCUUGGGACUCCAGUACUUCUACUUAAUUUGAAUUUAUUAUACAUUAUGUAAUGCUUAGAAUUGUGUUUGAGUUUUUUGAAGUAUCAUUUCAUAAGAGCAAGUAUUCAGUUAUUCAAGGUAGUUAGAUGGAUAUUAUUUACAAUAAUGAGUGUUUAUAUGGAUGUUGCUAGGUUUCUUAGAUUUUUUUUUUUAAAUAAUAUAUUUGGAAUUGGCUAGGUAAUUUGUGACAAAAUAUAAUAUCCUGUCCUUUGUAGCUUUCACCUCCUGUCAAUGAAGAAGUCAAUGAUCAAUGGUUUUCCCACUUAUUUCUCAAAACAUUGAUUCAAAAUUAUUAUAUUUCCAUUGGCAUAACAUAUUUUCUCUUAACUUUGUUAU